rnacentral:lncRNA from 1 species
GUCCAUUCUCAGCACCACAUAAAAAUAAAUAAAUAAAGAUACUGUGUCCAUCUACAACUAAAAAAUAUUUUUUUUAAAUCCUAAAGAGUAUGAAGUAGGAUUGGUACAUUUGUAAUACAGUGAAAUGUCACCUCUUAGUUGGUAUGUCUUCUUAGCAAACAACCUUUGCAAAUAAGAUCUUUAAGAUAACAGUGAUGCUGAUUAUGAUGAUAUCAUCUCCCAAUUGAGUUUUUCUCUCUCCAAAAUAAUAUUGUUAUUAACUGUAAUUUGACUUUUGCUUCUUAAUAUGAUCUUCAUAUUAUACAAUACAGCAUCAUAUUGAAUCAAAAUGAGCAAUUCAUAAAGACUUUAAACUCUUUUUACUGUUUGACUUCUUACAUAGCCAUAAAAAAUGUGAAAUUGAGUUGCCAAUGAUAAAUUGAUGGUUUCAUACUUAAACCAAAAUUUGCCAAAUUCCUAUAAAAAUAUCUUAGAUUGUCCUAGCAAUUAUCUGGGAAUUUGAAGUUAAAAAAUAACUGUAAGAAUGUGAUUUAAAACAGUGCUUCUCAAACUUUAAAGUGAAGAAUUGUGGUAAUUUUGAUUAAACGCAGAUUCUAAUCUCUAGGUCUUUUGGGGCCUGCUCUUCUGCUUGCUAACAAAACCUAAGUAAUAGUAAUGCUGAUAACCAGAGGAACGAACAUACCUUGAGUAAGGAGCAUUUAAAAUAUUAAUAAGAAUGAAACCUAAUUGAUAAAAAUUAUUUAAAGGGUCUUCUUUUUAUAUAUAUUUUUUUAGUUGUAGAUGGACUGAACACCUUUA